CCUACGGGAGGCAGCAGUAGGGAAUAUUGCUCAAUGGGGGAAACCCUGAAGCAGCAAAGCCGCGUGGAGGAUGAAGGUUUUCGGAUUGUAAACUCCUUUUGUUAGAGAAGAUAAUGACGGUAUCUAACGAAUAAGCACCGGAUAACUCCGUGCCACAAGCCGCGGUAAUACGGAGGGUGCAAGCGUUACUCGGAAUCACGGGGCGUAAAGAGCGCGUCGGCGGGAUAGCAAGUCAGAUGUGAAAUCCUAGGGCUUAACCAUAGAACUGCAUUUGAAACUGUUAUUCUAGAGUAGGGGAGAGGUAGGUGGAAUGCGUGGUGUAGGGGUAAAAUGCGUAGAGAUCGAGAGGAAUACUCAUUGCGAAGGCGACCUGCUGGAACAUAACUGACGCUGAUGCGCGAAAGCGUGGGGAUCAAACAGGAUUAGAUACCCGUGUAGUC
rnacentral:rRNA from 1 species